rnacentral:rRNA from 1 species
CGGGUGAGUAAUGUAUGGGGAUCUGCCCGAUGGAGGGGGAUAACUACUGGAAACGGUAGCUAAUACCGCAUAACGUCGCAAGACCAAAGAGGGGGACCUUCGGGCCUCUUGCCAUCGGAUGUGCCCAGAUGGGAUUAGCUAGUAGGUGGGGUAAUGGCUCACCUAGGCGACGAUCCCUAGCUGGUCUGAGAGGAUGACCAGCCACACUGGGACUGAGACACGGCCCAG